rnacentral:rRNA from 1 species
AGAGUUUGAUCAUGGCUCAGAUUGAACGCUGGCGGCAGGCUUAACACAUGCAAGUCGAGCGGUAGCACAGGGGAGCUUGCUCCCUGGGUGACGAGCGGCGGACGGGUGAGUAAUGUCUGGGAAACUGCCUGAUGGAGGGGGAUAACUACUGGAAACGGUAGCUAAUACCGCAUAACGUCGCAAGACCAAAGAGGGGGACCUUCGGGCCUCUUGCCAUCAGAUGUGCCCAGAUGGGAUUAGCUAGUAGGUGGGGUAAUGGCUCACCUAGGCGACGAUCCCUAGCUGGUCUGAGAGGAUGACCAGCCACACUGGAACUGAGACACGGUCCAGACUCCUACGGGAGGCAGCAGUGGGGAAUAUUGCACAAUGGGCGCAAGCCUGAUGCAGCCAUGCCGCGUGUGUGAAGAAGGCCUUCGGGUUGUAAAGCACUUUCAGCGAGGAGGAAGGUGGUGAGCUUAAUACGUUCAUCAAUUGACGUUACUCGCAGAAGAAGCACCGGCUAACUCCGUGCCAGCAGCCGCGGUAAUACGGAGGGUGCAAGCGUUAAUCGGAAUUACUGGGCGUAAAGCGCACGCAGGCGGUUUGUUAAGUCAGAUGUGAAAUCCCCGGGCUCAACCUGGGAACUGCAUUUGAAACUGGCAAGCUAGAGUCUCGUAGAGGGGGGUAGAAUUCCAGGUGUAGCGGUGAAAUGCGUAGAGAUCUGGAGGAAUACCGGUGGCGAAGGCGGCCCCCUGGACGAAGACUGACGCUCAGGUGCGAAAGCGUGGGGAGCAAACAGGAUUAGAUACCCUGGUAGUCCACGCUGUAAACGAUGUCGAUUUGGAGGUUGUGCCCUUGAGGCGUGGCUUCCGGAGCUAACGCGUUAAAUCGACCGCCUGGGGAGUACGGCCGCAAGGUUAAAACUCAAAUGAAUUGACGGGGGCCCGCACAAGCGGUGGAGCAUGUGGUUUAAUUCGAUGCAACGCGAAGAACCUUACCUACUCUUGACAUCCAGAGAACUUUCCAGAGAUGGAUUGGUGCCUUCGGGAACUCUGAGACAGGUGCUGCAUGGCUGUCGUCAGCUCGUGUUGUGAAAUGUUGGGUUAAGUCCCGCAACGAGCGCAACCCUUAUCCUUUGUUGCCAGCGGUUCGGCCGGGAACUCAAAGGAGACUGCCAGUGAUAAACUGGAGGAAGGUGGGGAUGACGUCAAGUCAUCAUGGCCC